rnacentral:lncRNA from 1 species
AUGUAUAGUUCAGAUUCAGGGCCGAAGUGUUUGGCCUUUCCUUUUCCGCGCCCGCUCACGCUUCGCUGACCUAUCGCGUGCUAAAAAGAGGAAAGUACGAAAGAAUAGUAAACAGAGCAUAAGCAAUUUUUGUAAACAAAAAGAAUAGUAAAAGCUUUUUGUUUUUGAGAAAAGAAUAGUAAAAGUUUGAUUAGUCUUAAAGGUUCUUUUAAUAAAAAAAACACUAGUACACAAAUGAUGGUGAACCAUUUUCCAUGUAAUUUAAUGUAGUUGCUAUCGUUAUCUUUCGUCAUUACCCUAAGUAACCGCACUACGUUAGUCAUACGCCAUGUAAAAACAUCUCACAUCUAAACAUAUCUAAUAGACUAAUACUUACUAUAUAAAUAUAAAAUAUAUGCCACGAAUCUUAUUGUGUGUUCUCCUUGUAGACGUCACAGAGGAAUACUAAAAACACUGUGUCAGUCACACAUAUCAAAAAGCAAAUUCAGGUUUAAGAGAAUCGAUGUCGUGGAACUAGAUCUUGCUUUGCACCGAGUAUAAAACAGAGAUAUAAAUCCAAUGGGUGAGAAGAAAGUGACAGAGGAGAAAGAAGAAACGAUGAAGAGCAAGACCUCUCUUGUUUUCGCCGUUAAUGGAGAAAGAUUUGAGAUCGACCUCUCUUCCAUUGAUCCUUCAACCACACUCAUCGAUUUCUUGCGUAAUAAGACUCCUUUCAAGAGCGUCAAGCUCGGUUGUGGCGAAGGUAUAAGAGUUAUCUCUCUAUCUUUGUUUUCUGUCAACUCUUGUUUUGUAUAAUAACAACGAACUCUCCAACAAGAAAAAAGAACCAACAAAACUCUUAGAAAAUCUGAUUAAAUCUGCAGUCUAUGUAGGAAGCUUUAGCUCUUAUGAAUGUUUUUGUGCCCUUGUUUCGGACUUUAUAUGUCAUCAGUGUUAUAUACGAGC